UACGUAGGGUGCGAACGUUGUUCGGAAUUACUGGGCGUAAAGCGCAUGUAGGCGGCAGCGCAAGUCGGGCGUGAAAUCCCACGGCUCAACCGUGGAAGUGCACUCGAAACUGCGCAGCUAGAGUCCUGGAGAGGAAGGUGGAAUGCUUGGUGUAGAGGUGAAAUUCGUAGAUAUCAAGCGGAACACCGGUGGCGAAGGCGGCCUCUGGACAGUGACUGACGCUGAGGAGCGAAAAGUGU
rnacentral:rRNA from 1 species